rnacentral:rRNA from 1 species
UACGAAGGGGGCUAGCGUUGCUCGGAAUCACUGGGCGUAAAGGGUGCGUAGGCGGUGGAGUAAGUCGGAUGUGAAAUACCAUAGCUUAACUAUGGAACUGCACUCGAUACUACUUUGCUAGAGUAAGACAGAGGUGAGUGGAACUGAGGGUGGAGCGGUGAAAUGCGUUGAUAUCCUCAGGAACACCGGUGGCGAAGGCGACUCACUGGGUCUUUACUGACGCUGAUGCACGAAAGCUAGGGUAGCAAACGGG